rnacentral:rRNA from 1 species
AACGAACGCUGGCGGCAUGCCUAACACAUGCCAGUCGAACGAGACCUUCGGGUCUAGUGGCGCACGGGUGCGUAACGCGUGGGAACCUGCCCUUAGGUUCGGAAUAACUCCCCGAAAGGGGUGCUAAUACCGGUUAAUGUCUUCGGACCAAAGAUGUAUCGCCUUUGGAUGGGCCCGCGUUGGAUUAGCUAGUUGGUAGGGUAAAAGCCUACCAAGGCGACGAUCCAUAGCUGGUCGGAGAGGAUGAUCAGCCACACUAGGACUGAGACACGGCCCAGACUCCUACGGAAGGGAGCAGUGGGGAAUAUUGGACGAUGGGCGAAAGCCUGAUACAGCAAUGCCGCGUGAGUGAUGAAGGCCUUAGGGUUGUAAAGCUCUUUUACCCGGGAUGUUAAUGACAGUACCGGGAGAAUAAGCACCGGCUAACUCCGUG